rnacentral:rRNA from 1 species
AUUGAACGCUGGCGGCAUGCUUUACACAUGCAAGUCGAACGGCAGCGCGGGCUUCGGCCUGGCGGCGAGUGGCGAACGGGUGAGUAAUGCAUCGGAACGUGCCCAGUAGUGGGGGAUAGCCCGGCGAAAGCCGGAUUAAUACCGCAUACGACCUGAGGGUGAAAGCGGGGGACCGAAAGGCCUCGCGCUAUUGGAGCGGCCUAUGUCGGAUUAGCUAGUUGGUGGGGUAAAGGCUUACCAAGGCGACGAUCCGUAGCUGGUCUGAGAGGACGACCAGCCACACUGGGACUGAGACACGGCCCAGACUCCUACGGGAGGCAGCAGUGGGGAAUUUUGGACAAUGGGGGCAACCCUGAUCCAGCCAUGCCGCGUGCGGGAAGAAGGCCUUCGGGUUGUAAACCGCUUUUGUUCGGGAAGAAAUCCUCUGGGCUAAUACCCCGGGGGGAUGACGGUACCGGAAGAAUAAGCACCGGCUAACUACGU